AUAAGUGCGAGCUAAACGUAAGAUAGUUAACGUUUAGCAUCAGAAUUAGCGAUGAGUUUCAUGGGCUUUUAAAACACUUUUGAAAUUAUUUGCAACGAAACUGCUUAAUGGUUCAUGUUAUAUAAUUUUAUUUGUGCAAAUAACUACUCGAGGGCUCUCUGUACUAAACGUCCCUAACUUAUUCUGAAGCGUGACGAGACAUCGGAAUUAAAGUCCGAGAGCGCUAAUCACUGUGCCACACCUGGUUCUGCAAGAUACUGAGAUCCCGAACAAUACAUUGUUCUUUAUCAAUCAUACCUGGAACUCGACGUUAGAGAUGGAUAGUCCUGCCAAUGUGAAGUCCAGCAGAGUCAAAUAUUCCGCUGAGCCAGUUAUGGAUGGGAUUUCAAAUUCUAGGAUUUCCCUUGAACUAUCACACUCUUCAACUUUACAAGACUUAAAUUCUAUGUACCACGGUAAAAGUUAUUAUCCACAAAAAAAUAUAUCUUUUGUUGAGACUACUGGUGAGUUUAAAAAUGUAUCAGAUGAAAAGAGGACUUCGACUUCACAAAACUAUAAAUUUAAAAACGAGACUGACACCAGUAUUGUGCAGAAACCUAGUUCAGUUAAAUUCCGAAACUGUUUUAGUAAAUGGGAUGUCAUUAUCUUUAUCGCGCUAUCGGGCAUUUUCUUAUUUCUGUUUAGUUCUUUCUGCUGUUUGGCAGAACGGCUGCUAUGGAGGAGAAGGCAUUUCUCUCCUGACAAGUGGUCAAUGUCAGGAAAUGAGGAAGUGAAGAAUUUUACAAACUUGGUCAGGCAGAGAAGGAAGUCUUUAAUGGCAGAAUCCCGGCCAACAGAGACCGACGAAUCAGCAGUACCUCUACUGUCCAGAGAAAAUUCCAUUUGUACGAUACAAUCACCAAUAACUUUAUCUCUAUUCAGCAUGGACUCAUUACAAGUAAUCAGUACUUGCUCGCAAUCACUUGUUCCCUCAGUGAUUAGCACAGAUUCUAGUUCCUAUAACUCAUCCCUGCUAGACUCUAGUUUUCGAAUUGCUAAAUCACCAAUGUUGACUACUGGGCCACAGUUGGUCAAGCCAUCAACGCACACCAGUAGAGCACAUAGUAUGGCAAAAUCUUAACCUCCUAUUUGAGAUACAGAAUUGGUAAAAUCGUCAGAGUGAGCUUCUACUCCACCACUGAUGGAAACAACACCAAAAACUGAAUCAGAUAGAUCUAAAAGUGUUAAACUCUGAAUUAUUCGUAGUGAGAUUUGAUGUACAAAAGAACUCUUGUGAAUCUUUGCUAUCUACUAAGCUAGUUAAUAAAAUGUUAAUUAGUAAAUUUGAGGAUUUUAAUUUUUUUAUGUGAAAAACUUGAAACAAAAAUAAUCCUUUCAUUGCUGUACAAAUGAUAAAUUUGCUAGUUUGUAUAUUUUUAACUCGUAAUGAAAAUAGUUGAAAAUCAUUGAUGGUAUUAAUUUACUUAUCUCACAGUAAACAAAGUUUCCAGUCAGAUCAGAAUUCUACAAGUGAAAGCCAAACCCGUGUAAUUUAGUACAGAAUAACCAGUUCCUGUGAAUAUUAGUAUGUAAAAGAGAAUAGUGUAAUACCAUUUAUUUAAUAAAAAAAUCAAUGACUUGUAACUCA
rnacentral:lncRNA from 1 species